rnacentral:rRNA from 1 species
GUCCCAGCUGUAAACGAUGGGCACUGGAUAGGAGGGACUCCGAUGGUCUUUCUUGUCGUAGCUAACGCGUUAAGUGCCCCGCCUGGGGAGUAUGCUCGCAAGGGUAAAACUCAAAGGAAUUGACGGGGGCUCACACAAGCGGUGGAGCAUGUGGUUCAAUUCGAAGCAACGCGAAGAACCUUACCUGGGUUUGACAUGCGCGGAUUAGCCUCCUGAAAGGGAGGGUACGCCCGAAAGGGUGGAACGUGCACAGGUGUUGCAUGGCUGUCGU